CCUACGGGAGGCAGCAGUGGGGAAUAUUCCGCAAUGGGCGCAAGCCUGACCCAGCAACGCCGCGUGAUCGAAUAAGGCUUUCGGGUUGUAAACUUCUUUUGUCAGGGGCGAAGCAAGUGACGGUACCUGUUUAAUAAGCCACGGCUAACUACGUGCCAGCUGCCGCUGUAAUACUUAGGUGGCAAGCGUUAUCCGGAUUUACGGGGUGUAAAGGGCGUGUAGGCGGGGAGGCAAGUCAGAUGUGAAAACCCCGGGCUCAACCUGUGGACUGCAUUUGAAACUGUUUUUCUUGAGUGCUGGAGAGGAAAGCGGAAUUCCGUGUGUAGCGGUGAAAGGCGUAGAUAUAAGGAGGAACACCAGUGGCGAAGGCGAAUUGCUGGACAGUAACUGACGCUGAGGCGCGAAAGCGUGGGGAGCAAACAGGAUUAGAUACCCGUGUAGUC
rnacentral:rRNA from 1 species